GCCCGUCGCGCCUGCCCGCGCCGCGCCGCGCCCUCCGACCUCCAUCUGUGUACUCGGUGGCACCGGCGGGGGAAAUGGAUCAUUACUGACAAAACGCCUGUUGUGCCAAUUUCCUGGGCAUAUAGUCCGAUGUAUAAUUAAAAAUUUAACGUUUAACUAAAUUAAUACGACUGAUAUACGAAAAUCGGUAUCUUUUUUAUUAAACAUUUGAACCGUUUUAUUCGUAACAUUUUUCUAAGUAAUAUACGUCAAGGAAUGUUGACAGUAUUGUUUCUAGAAGGUACCAUUUGAGAUUUUCAUAAACUACCAGUUGUUAUUGUCUGUAGUAACAAUAUUGUUAAUGUACCGUUAUGUUAGUGAUUAACUUAAUUCUUUAUACAUUUUUCAUUAUUUAUCUAAAAAAAUUUUGAACAUUAAUUUAUGUAAAAAGGAUUUAACUUGUCUAUGGCCAAUAUUCAAAUAAUGUAAUAUAAAAAUAAUCUAAUAAUUAACGCAUUGAAAUAAAUGCUUCCAGUGAGCUA